UACGUAGGGUGCGAGCGUUAAUCGGAAUUACUGGGCGUAAAGGGUUCGUAGGUGGCUCGCUAAGUCAGACGUGAAAUCCCUCAGCUUAACUGGGGAACUGCGUCUGAGACUGGCGAGCUCGAGUGCAGGAGAGGAACGCGGAAUUCCAGGUGUAGCGGUGAAAUGCGUAGAUAUCUGGAGGAACACCGGUGGCGAAGGCGGCGUCCUGGACCAACACUGACACUGAUGAGCGAAAGCCAGGGGAGCAAACGGG
rnacentral:rRNA from 1 species